AUUGAACGCUGGCGGCAGGCCUAACACAUGCAAGUCGGACGGUAGCACAGAGGAGCUUGCUCCUUGGGUGACGAGUGGCGGACGGGUGAGUAAUGUCUGGGGAUCUGCCCGAUAGAGGGGGAUAACCACUGGAAACGGUGGCUAAUACCGCAUAACGUCGCAAGACCAAAGAGGGGGACCUUCGGGCCUCUCACUAUCGGAUGAACCCAGAUGGGAUUAGCUAGUAGGCGGGGUAAUGGCCCACCUAGGCGACGAUCCCUAGCUGGUCUGAGAGGAUGACCAGCCACACUGGAACUGAGACACGGUCCAGACUCCGACGGGAGGCAGCAGUGGGGAAUAUUGCACAAUGGGCGCAAGCCUGAUACAGCCAUGCCGCGUGUAUGAAGAAGGCCUUCGGGUUGUAAAGUACUUUCAGCGGGGAGGAAGGCGGUGAGGUUAAUAACCUCGCCGAUUGACGUUACCCGCAGAAGAAGCACCGGCUAACUCCGUGCCAGCCGCCGCCGUAA
rnacentral:rRNA from 1 species